rnacentral:rRNA from 1 species
ACGUAGGGUGCAAGCGUUGUCCGGAUUUACUGGGCGUAAAGAGCGCGUAGGCGGUCUGUUAAGUGUAGAGUGAAAUCUCCAGGGCUCAACCCGGAAACUGCUCUGCAUACUGGCAGACUUGAGGGACUGAGAGGCGAAUGGAAUUCCUGGUGUAGCGGUGAAAUGCGUAGAUAUCAGGAGGAAUACCGAUGGCGAAGGCAGGUCUCUGGGCUGACACUGACGCUCAUGCACGAAAGCGUGGGGAGCAAACAGGA